rnacentral:rRNA from 1 species
UUCCGUUAUCGGAUUACUGGGCGUAAGCGUGCGCAGGCGGUUCGGAAAGAAAGAUGUGAAAUCCCAGAGCUUAACUUUGGAACUGCAUUUUUAACUACCGGGCUAGAGUGUGUCAGAGGGAGGUGGAAUUCCGCGUGUAGCAGUGAAAUGCGUAGAUAUGCGGAGGAACACCGAUGGCGAAGGCAGCCUCCUGGGAUAACACUGACGCUCAUGCACGAAAGCGUGGGGAGCAAACAGGAUUAGAUACCCUGGUAGUCCACGCCCUAAACGAUGUCAACUAGCUGUUGGGGCCUUCGGGCCUUGGUAGCGCAGCUAACGCGUGAAGUUGACCGCCUGGGGAGUACGGUCGCAAGAUUAGAACUCAAAGGAAUUGACGGGGACCCGCACAAGCGGUGGAUGAUGUGGAUUAAUUCGAUGCAACGCGAAAAACCUUACCUACCCUUGACAUGUCUGGAAUGCCGAAGAGAUUUGGCAGUGCUCGCAAGAGAACCGGAACACAGGUGCUGCAUGGCUGUCGUCAGC